CCCGAAAUCCAGGGUUGUUUCUGGUAAGCAUCAUUAUAUUAAAUUAACAUUAGUUUUAAUUUAACAGCUAAAUUAUAAAAUUAUCAGCAAUGAAAUUAACAAGUAUAUAUCAAUGGUACUUAUUUGUUUAACAAUCUACUAUAUAUAUCAUCUAGCAAUAAUUGAUUUUUGGGUAUUGUUUCCGGAAAUUUUUCAUAUUUUCUCCGUAAACGGGUGAAUUGUUUUUCUAUCAAACAUCUUCCUGGUUUUGAAACAAAUAUUGUCACACCGGCCAUGACUUAAAAAAUAAAAAAAUAAACAGAUGUGAUAUAGCAUAUUCACAGUAUGCAACAGUAUGUUCUCGAACUUCAAUUUUGAACAGAUCCCAUUGAAGUCCUAUAUUAUCAACCGCAUUUGGCCUUGACUUCCGUCAGACAAUGAUCCAGAUUCGGAUUAGCAAGUUGAAGUGAUAUGUCCGAACACCAGACGUUAUUUAAAGAAAACAAUUUCAAUGAUGGCUUUGUGAUAUACCGUAUUCCAAGUAUUAACCGAGAAUGAAAAGUACUAUUAUUGGAUUUACAUACGGAUAUUAAGAAAACACGGAUUGCUAUAAAUUGUGUUUCGUGUUCUAAAAAUAGAAUUGGGUACAGAUAAAUAGUAGUGUGACCUGCAGGCACCAAUGGUUCAGAUAAAUAGUAGUGUGACCUGCAGGCACCUAUGGUACAGAUAAAUAGUAGUGUGACCUGCAGGCACCUAUGGUACAGAUAAAUAGUAGUGUGAACUGCAGGUACCUAUGAAGAUCUACACGCGUAAUACGGGACUACUUUUUGUAAGUGAUGAAUGGCGUUUAGACUCGUGCGUAAUACUCGGCAGUUAAAUUGCUCACGUCGUAAAAUCAUUAGCAACUGACAACGAUCAUUCACAAAGUUAGUUAGAUAUGAUAACAUUUGAUCCAAAUCCACUCAGAGAAUAUAAACAAAUGGUGAAGUCAUUAUAGGAUAGUAUUUACAUAAGAAGUCAGUUAACAAUUUUGAUCACAUUAUUUUCUCACGCUGUUAUCUAAAGUUCAUGGUAAAUUUUACCUUAAAUUUGUUAUAUCAUUAGCUGUUAAUAGUUUCUCUGCUUCUAUUAUAGUUCUCAAGAUCAGUGCCACAAAUGUAAAAAUGGGUAUACAUGAUCAUUGAAGGGUAGCAAUCCAUGAUAAA